GGGAAUCUGGUCCAAUGGUAGGACACUGCGGUCCUGGGGGUUGUGUCCCAGGAGGCUGGCGAGCAGCAGCGCCGCAGAGAUCCGGGUUCGAUUCGCGGGAUUUCCA